rnacentral:hammerhead_ribozyme from 1 species
AUCCAGCUGACGGGUCCGGAAUAGGACGAAUCGCGCAUCCUGGAU